CCUACGGGAGGCAGCAGUGAGGAAUAUUGGUCAAUGGGCGGAAGCCUGAACCAGCCAAGUAGCGUGCGGGAUGAAGGCCCUACGGGUCGUAAACCGCUUUUGCACGGGGAUAACACCCUCCACUUGUGGAGGUCUGCAGGUACCGUUCGAAUAAGGGCCGGCUAAUUCCGUUCCAGCAGCCGCGGUAAUACGGAAGGCCCGAGCGUUAUCCGGAUUCAUUGGGCUUAAAGGGAGCGUAGGCGGGCGUUUAAGUCAGCUGUAAAAUUGCGCGGCUCAACCGCGCCCCGCAGUUGAAAAGGGACGCCUUGAGUUAACAACAGGCAGGCGGAAUUCGUGGUGUAGCGGUGAAAUGCAUAGAUAUCACGAGGAACCCCGAUUGCGAAGGCAGCCUGCCGGGGUGCGACUGACGCUGAGGCUCGAAGGUGCGGGUAUCAAACAGGAUUAGAUACCCUUGUAGUC
rnacentral:rRNA from 1 species